GACAUUGUGCCAGAGUGGUUAAUGGGUUAGACUUGAAUUAUCACAUUCAUGUCAUCUAAUGGCUUCGGCCUCGCAAGUUCGAAUCUUGUCAAUGUCG
rfam:Pyrenophora tritici-repentis Pt-1C-BFP supercont1.6 genomic scaffold, whole genome shotgun sequence.